AAAGUGUUUUAUGUUUCAGUGGG
rnacentral:siRNA from 1 species